rnacentral:lncRNA from 1 species
AUAUUCCAUAUGUUUUACAACAGCAGCUGACUUAUAACCUUACCCUUGCUGGGAGGAUGUUAGUGAGAGAGCUGGCAGUGUUAAACACACAGAUGUUCAUGAUGGAUCAGCCUGUUCUCAUCUGUUUCACUCUUGUUGGGAGGAUGGUGUGGGAGGAACUGUCUUCUCAAACUGAACAGGUAUCCAUUCAUAUGCAGAUACUUCAGAUGUUUCCUUAACCUUUGAACACAGACCUGUG